UACGUAGGGUGCGAGCGUUAAUCGGAGUUACUGGGCGUAAAGCGUGCGCAGGCGGUUCGUUAAGUUCGAUGUGAAAGCCCCGGGCUCAACCUGGGAACUGCAUUGGAAACUGGCGAGCUUGAAUGCGGCAGAGGGGGGUGGAAUUCCGCGUGUAGCAGUGAAAUGCGUAGAGAUGCGGAGGAACACCGAUGGCGAAGGCAGCCCCCUGGGCCGACAUUGACGCUCAGGCACGAAAGCGUGGGGAGCAAACAGG
rnacentral:rRNA from 1 species